AGUGAACGCUGGCGGUAGGCCUAACACAUGCAAGUCGAACGGCAGCACAGUAAGAGCUUGCUCUUACGGGUGGCGAGUGGCGGACGGGUGAGGAAUACAUCGGAAUCUACUUUUUCGUGGGGGAUAACGUAGGGAAACUUACGCUAAUACCGCAUACGACCUACGGGUGAAAGCAGGGGAUCUUCUGACCUUGCGCGAUUGAAUGAGCCGAUGUCGGAUUAGCUAGUUGGCGGGGUAAAGGCCCACCAAGGCGACGAUCCGUAGCUGGUCUGGGAGGAUGAUCAGCCACACUGGAACUGAGACACGGUCCAGACUCCUACGGGAGGCAGCAGUGGGGAAUAUUGGACAAUGGGCGCAAGCCUGAUCCAGCCAUACCGCGUGGGUGAAGAAGGCCUUCGGGUUGUAAAGCCCUUUUGUUGGGAAAGAAAAGCAGCAGGUUAAUACCACGCUGUUCUGACGGUACCCAAAGAAUAAGCACCGGCUAACUUCGUG
rnacentral:rRNA from 1 species